AGUGAACGCUGGCGGUAGGCCUAACACAUGCAAGUCGAACGGCAGCACAGUAAGAGCUUGCUCUUACGGGUGGCGAGUGGCGGACGGGUGAGGAAUACAUCGGAAUCUACUUUUUCGUGGGGGAUAACGUAGGGAAACUUACGCUAAUACCGCAUACGACAUACGGGUGAAAGCAGGGGAUCUUCGGACCUUGCGCGAUUGAAUGAGCUGAUGUCGGAUUAGCUAGUUGGCGGGGUAAAGGCCCACCAAGGCGACGAUCCGUAGCUGGUCUGAGAGGAGGAUCAGCCACACUGGAACUGAGACACGGUCCAGACUCCUACGGGAGGCAGCAGUGGGGAAUAUUGGACAAUGGGCGCAAGCCUGAUCCAGCCAUACCGCGUGGGUGAAGAAGGCCUUCGGGUUGUAAAGCCCUUUUGUUGGGAAAGAAAAGCAGCAGGUUAAUACCCCGCUGUUCUGACGGUACCCAAAGAAUAAGCACCGGCUAACUUCGUG
rnacentral:rRNA from 1 species